rnacentral:rRNA from 1 species
GAACGCUAUCGGUAUGCUUAACACAUGCAAGUCGAACGGACUAAUUGGGGCUUGCUCCAAUUAGUUAGUGGCAGACGGGUGAGUAACACGUGGGAAUCUACCCAUCAGUACGGAAUAACUUUUAGAAAUAAAAGCUAAUACCGUAUAUUCUCUGCGGAGGAAAGAUUUAUCGCUGAUGGAUGAGCCCGCGUCAGAUUAGGUAGUUGGUGAGGUAAUGGCUCACCAAGCCGACGAUCUGUAGCUGGUCUGAGAGGAUGAUCAGCCACACUGGGACUGAGACACGGCC